rnacentral:snRNA from 1 species
AAAACAAAGCAUUGCGAUGGUC